rnacentral:rRNA from 1 species
UACGGAGGGUGCAAGCGUUAUCCGGAAUCACUGGGUUUAAAGGGUGCGUAGGCGGUGCAGUAAGUCAGUCGUGAAAUCGCUGGGCUCAACCCAUGCAAUUGCGAUUGAUACUGCUGUACUUGAAUGGGGUUAAGGCAGGCGGAAUGUGGCAUGUAGCGGUGAAAUGCAUAGAUAUGCCAUAGAACACCGAUUGCGAAGGCAGCCUGCUGGGCCUUUAUUGACGCUGAGGCACGAAAGCGUGGGGAGCAAACAGG